UACGGGGGGGGGUAAGCGUUGUUCGGAAUUACUGGGCGUAAAGGGCUCGUAGGCGGCCAACUAAGUCAUACGUGAAAUCCCUCAGCUUAACUGGGGAACUGCGUGUGAUACUGGAUGGCUUGGAUUUGGGAGAGGGAUGCGGAAUUCCAGGUGUAGCGGUGAAAUGCGUAGAUAUCGGGAGGAACACCAGUGGCGAAGGCGGCUUUCUGGCCUGUUCUUGACGCUGAGGCGCGAAAGCUAGGGGAGCGAACGGG
rnacentral:rRNA from 1 species